UGUGUAGGGGUAAAAUCCGUAGAGAUAACUAGGAAUACCAAAAGCGAAGGCAAUUUUCUGGAACAGUACUGACGCUCAGAUGCGAAAGCGUGGGUAGCAAACAGGAUUAGAUACCCUGGUAGUCCACGCCCUAAACGAUGAAUGUUAGUCGUCGGGAGGCUCGUCCUUUCGGUGAUGCAGUUAACACAUUAAACAUUCCGCCUGGGGAGUACGGUCGCAAGAUUAAAACUCAAAAGAAUAGACGGGGACCCGCACAAGUGGUGGAGCAUGUGGUUUAAUUCGAAGAUACGCGAAGAACCUUACCUAGCCUUGACAUUGAUAGAAUCCGAUAGAAAUAUUGGAGUACCAGUUUACUGGAGCUUGAAAACAGGUGCUGCACGGCUGUCGUCAGCUCGUGUCGUGAGAUGUUGGGUUAAGUCCCGCAACGAGCGCAACCCUCGUCCUUAGUUACUAACGGUUCGGCCGAGGACUCUAAGGAGACUGCCUUCGUAAGGAGGAGGAAGGUGAGGACGACGUCAAGUCAUCAUGGCCCUUACGGCUAGGGCGACACACGUGCUACAAUGGAUAGGACAAUGAGACGCAAUACCGCGAGGUGGAGCAAAUCUAUAAACCUAUUCUCAGUUCGGAUUGUAGUCUGCAACUCGACUACAUGAAGCUGGAAUCACUAGUAAUCGUAGAUCAGCCAUGCUACGGUGAAUACGUUCCCGGGUCUUGUACUCACCGCCCGUCACACCAUGGGAGUUGAUUUCACCCGAAGCGGGGAAGCUUAACUGGCUACCCUCCACGGUGGAAUCAGCGACUGGGGUGAAGUCGUAACAAGGUAACC
rnacentral:rRNA from 1 species